UACGAGGGGGGCGAGCGUUGUUCGGAAUUAUUGGGCGUAAAGGGUGCGUAGGCGGUUUGGUAAGUCUGAUGUGAAAUCUAUGGGCUCAACUCAUAGUCUGCAUCGGAAACUGCCGGGCUUGAGUGUGGGAGAGGUGAGUGGAAUUCCUGGUGUAGCGGUGAAAUGCGUAGAUAUCAGGAGGAACACCGGUGGCGAAGGCGCACAUCUGGCCCGAUACUGACGCUGAGGCGCGGAAGCUAGGGGAGCAAACGGG
rnacentral:rRNA from 1 species